GAUGAAGAACGCAGCGAAAUGCGAUAAGUAAUGUGAAUUGCAGAAUUCAGUGAACCAUCGAAUCUUUGAACGCACAUUGCGCCCGCUAGCAUUCUAGCGGGCAUGCCUGUUCGAGCGUCAUUUCAACCAUCAAGCCCCAGGCUUGUGUUGGAGCCCUGCGGCCGUCCGCAGCCUCCUAAAAUCAGUGGCGGGCUCGCUAUCACACCGAGUGCAGUAGUUUACUCUUCGCUCAGGACGUGUAGCGGGUUCCGGCCGUGAAACCCCCCAAUUUUCAAGGUUGACCUCGGAUCAGGUAGGAAUACCCGCUGAACUUAAGCAUAUCAAUAAGCGGAGGA
rnacentral:misc_RNA from 1 species